rnacentral:rRNA from 1 species
UACGAAGGGUGCAAACGUUGCUCGGAAUUAUUGGGCGUAAAGCGCACGUAGGCGGCUUUGCAAGUCGGAUGUGAAAUCCCUCGGCUUAACCAAGGAAGUGCAUCCGAAACUGCAGAGCUUGAGUACUUAAGAGGAUCGCGGAAUUCCCGGUGUAGAGGUGAAAUUCGUAGAUAUCGGGAGGAACACCGAUGGCGAAGGCAGGUCUCUGGGCCACUACUGACGCUGAGAAGCGAAAGCAUGGGGAGCGAACAGG